UCCAGCAAACUCCGUCCCGUCUUUCCGCGCGUGCAGUGCAGAUCUCCCACCACCACCAGGCGGUCGAAAUUUCUCCCUCUCACUCCCCCUCCCUCCCUCCUCCUCCUCCUCCCCUCCAGAUCCAGGCCCCGACCCGACGCCUCCGGCCAUGAGCGACAGCGAUGUCGACGAGGACGAGCUCCUCCAGAUGGCGCUGCAGGAGCAGGCCGCCCGGGACCUCAGCCACCAGCGCCCGGCCGGCGCGAACAAGCCCGUCGUCAACCUCGUCCGCCCGCCCGCCAACGCCCGCGGCGGCGCCAAGGCGCGCCAGCCCAGCCGCGGCGGCGACGAGGACGACGACUCCGAGGUCGAGAUGCUAUCCAUUUCCUCCGGCGACGAGGACGGCGCCCCCGCCCGCGAGCGCGGGCCCCCGCCGCCCCGCGGGGGCGGCCGCGCCGGGGCUCGGAGGGCCGCGUCGCGGGACGAUGCUGAUCUCGACGACGCUGAGCCCAGGAGCUGGAAGCGUGUCGACGAGGCUGAGCUUGCUCGCAGGGUUCGGGAAAUGCGUGAAGCAAGAGCGGCGCCUAGCGUUCAAGCACUUGAUCAGAAAGCGGCAGCAGCAGCAGCAGCAGCAGCAGCUCGAAAGGCGCUCACAAGUGUACAGACUUUACCUAAAGGCGUGGAGGUUUUGGAUCCAUUAGGCCUUGGUGUUAUGGAUAAUAAGUCCCUGCGGCUAAUCACUGAAGCUUCAAUGAGUUCUCCAGUUUCAAGGGAGAAGUCCCAGGGUUUGGACCCCAGUAUGCGAGAGAAAGUUAUAUAUUCUUCUCCUCAUUUUGAUCCCAAGGUUUUUCUCUCGUGGGUCCACAAAGAUACAAGUGCUGCUGAUUUGGAGUCUGGUGCUCUUACCUUGAAAACUGAUCUCAAAGGGAGAACACAGCAGAAAAAACAACUAGUCAAGGAGAAUUUUGAUUGUUUUGUCUCCUGCAAAACCACAAUAGAUGACAUUGAGUCGAAACUGAGACAGAUAGAAGACGAUCCUGAAGGUGCAGGUACAUCUCACUUAUAUUCAGUCACUCAAAAAAUUAGCGGUGUGGCAAAUCGUGCAUUUGAGCCUCUAUUUGAGAGGCAGGCCCAAGCUGAUAAGAUCAGAUCUGUUCAAGGAAUGCUUCAGAGAUUCCGGACAUUAUUUAACCUGCCAAGCGCAAUUCGUGGCAACAUUAGGAAAGGAGAGUAUGAUCUAGCUGUCAGAGAGUACCAAAAAGCAAAAUCAAUUGUUCUUCCUUCUCAUGUUGGAAUACUGAAACGUGUACUGGAAGAAGUGGAGAAGGUAAUGCAUGAAUUCAGGGGCAUGCUUUAUAAGUCAAUGGAAGAUCCUCAUCUCGACCUUGCUGAGCUUGAGAACAUUGUCCGGCUAUUGUUGGAGUUGGAGCCUGAGACUGAUCCAGUGUGGCAUUAUCUUAAUAUUCAGAAUGGCAGAAUUCAUGGAUUAUUUGAGAAGUGUACCGUAGAUCAUGAAGUGCGAAUGGAGAUUUUGCAAAAUAAAAGACAUGAGAAAGUGCUAUCUGAUUCAAAAUGGAGGCAGCUGCAACAAGAGUCGAAUAAAUCAUUGGAAGUUGAUUCUGCUAUUGGUGAUUCUUUUCAAGAUGAUCAAUUGUCAUCAAGCUUCAUGGCUGAAGAGGCUGAUAGUUUAAGGGCAACUUACAUACGCAGGUUAAGUGCUGUACUUAUCCAGCAUGUUCCAGCAUUCUGGAGAUUAGCUUUAUCUGUCUUCAGUGGAAAAUUUGCAAAGGCAGCUGCUGGCAAUGCACUUGCUGAUUCUGAGAUGAAUGCAAAAUCUGGUGCAAAUAAGACCGAUGAUAAAGGUGCGGAGGCGAAGUACACAAACCAUAGUCUUGAUGAGGUUGCUAGUAUGGUUUGUGCUACUGUAUCUGUUUUCGACACGAAGGUUCAGAAUACUUUUCGUGAUUUUGAGGAAUGCAACAUUCUUCGUCCAUUUAUGGGUGACACUAUAAAAGAAAUAGCUAAGGCUUGUCAGACCCUCGAGGGGAAGGAUUCAUCUCCAACUGCUGUUAAAAUGUUGCAUGCCCUUCAUUCUGAAAUGACAAAGCUCUACAUUCUUCGACUUUGUUCUUGGAUGCGGGUAACAACUAAGGAAGUAUCAAAACAUGAGACUUGGGUUACUUUGUCAACCCUUGAGAGAAACAAGUCUCCGUAUGCAAUUUCAUGCCUGCCCUUGGAGUUCCGUGAAAUCACAAUUUCCGCAAUGGACCGGAUUGAAUUAAUGAUCUUUAAUCUCAGGAAUGAGACUGCCAAGUCUUACGACAUUACUCGACAGCUUCAGGAAAUCCAUGAGUCUGUUAGACUUGCAUUUCUAAAUUCUUUUCGGGAUUUUGCAGGUUAUCUGGGGACAUUUGGAGCGGAACUAGCUCAGAGUAGAUCAAAUAAAGAAAACAAUCAUGUGCAAAAUGGGUAUAUGAAUGGUACUGAUAGAGAAUCAUCUGCUAGCAUGGAUGGAGACUUGCACAAGAAGCUAUUGGUUGUUUUGAGUAACAUUGGAUAUUGUAAAGCAGAACUUUCAGAUCAACUGUAUAACAAAUAUAGGCACAUUUGGUCUCCGAUCAGGGAUAAUGAUGAACGUAGUGCUGAUAUGCGAGAUCUUGGUGACAUCCUUCUCUGGACUUGAGGAUAAAGUCCUCGACCAAUAUACUUUUGCAAAGUCAAACGUGAUCAGAAAUGCUGCACAGAACUAUCUGUUGGAUUCUGGGAUUCAUUGGGGGGCAGCACCUGUAGUGAAGGGCAUACGGGAUGCAACUCUUGAUUUACUGCACAUCCUUGUAGCUGUACAUGCCGAGGUAUACUCAGGUGCUAGGCCUUUGUUGGAGAAAACGCUGAAAAUUUUGGUCGAGGGUUUGGUCGACAUCUUUCUUAGUCUUUUUUAUGAGAACAAGGCCAAGGAUCUCAGAAUGUUGGAUGCAAAUGGUUUUUGUCAGCUCAUGCUUGAGCUUGAGUAUUUUGAAACCGUGUUAAACACAUACUUCUCUACUGAGGCACAACAAGCUCUGAAAUCUUUGCAAGAGAGUUUGUUGGAGAAGGCCUGUGAAAGUGGCAGUGAAGAUGCUGCAUCAGAUGAUAAACAAGUGCCAUCAGUAUCACCCGAUGAUUUGCUUGCUCUUGCUCAGCAACACGGCAGUGAUCUGCUGCAAGGGGAGCUGGAGAGAACCCGAUUAAAUAUAGCAUGUUUUAUGGAGCCAACUCUUCAAUCAGGCUCGAAAACUUCAGCUUAUUCGUCUUACCAGGCACCAGCACCACAUCAUCCCCAGGCUCAAGUCUCCUCCCCUAGUUUUAGAAGGCAGCAGCAGACAAGUUCAAAUUCUCCCAUAGUCUCUAGAAGACGCCGAUGAACUAAAUGCUGAGAGCAACAUUUUCUUUAUCGACCUCUUCCUUAAACUCCCUUUUUUUAAAAGGAAGUCCCUCUUUUCUUGGGUUGCUUGUAUUUUUUUUCCAUUCAUUGUAAUUAGCAUCAUGUUGUGUAUUAUGAAUUUUGAUCCAUUCUUUUGGUGUUGUAUGAUAAAAGGGCAGGGUACAGGUGCUGCUGUACGGGACUUUGUACUUGUAUAAUCUCCAGGAACUGGAAUUGUUAUUUCCAUGUUUUCAGAAGAUACCACUGCAAAUUAUACUUGUUUUGAACCAA